AACGAACGCUGGCGGCAUGCCUAACACAUGCAAGUCGAACGAGACCUUCGGGUCUAGUGGCGCACGGGUGCGUAACGCGUGGGAAUCUGCCCUUGGGUUCGGAAUAACAGCGAGAAAUUGCUGCUAAUACCGGAUGAUGACGUAAGUCCAAAGAUUUAUCGCCCAAGGAUGAGCCCGCGUAGGAUUAGCUUGUUGGUGAGGUAAAAGCUCACCAAGGCGACGAUCCUUAGCUGGUCUGAGAGGAUGAUCAGCCACACUGGGACUGAGACACGGCCCAGACUCCUACGGGAGGCAUCAGUGGGGAAUAUUGGACAAUGGGCGAAAGCCUGAUCCAGCAAUGCCGCGUGAGUGAUGAAGGCCUUAGGGUUGUAAAGCUCUUUUACCCGGGAUGAUAAUGACAGUACCGGGAGAAUAAGCCCCGGCUAACCUCCGUGCCAGCAGCCGCGGUAAU
rnacentral:rRNA from 1 species